AGGCAGAAUACUUGGAUAUGCCAUUAAAAUUGUCUUUACUUUUCACUUAAACACUCCAUUUUAAGUUCGUUCCAUUUGAACGCUCCAAUCACAGCUUACAUGUUUCAUUUAGACAUAAUAUGCUGACAAGGCAAUCUAAGAAUUUCUCACAUUUUUCAAGCGCGUGAAAUCAUCCAAAAAAAAAUAAUCUCCACAUACUUCUUGUCGGAAAAUGUAUAGCUUAUGCCGAAAAUUUUCCGAUCAUCUUGUUAACCAAAAUUGUUUUUAGAUUUCUUCAUACCAUUACUACUGUAUCCUCUUUUAGAUCUAAGCACCCCCCUACCACCUUUAAAUCUGGCCACCAUCACAAACUUUUCAAAUUCCUUCUCAUUUUUAGAUUUGAUUGAUGCUGCAAUUCUGGACGGAAAAGUAGAAGCGCCGCUAGCUGCCUACCUCGUCUUUUUUAUUUAUCUUCCACCAUGUGAGCAACCAUUGGAUGGCACGAACAAGAACAGUGGCAAAAGCCCUCUCAUUUCCACUCAUCCGGCGAAACUUCAUUUUUUCGACGAAGUUUCUCUUUUUUCUCAACAAUUAAUUUUGCAACUUGAAUCUUACUCUUAACCAGAUCCAGCUAGAUUCGAGCAGAUCUGACUGAAAAUAACAAGUUUUGGAGACCCUUAUGCAUAGGUGUUGUCUUCUCCUCGUUUUUUCUUUUAGUUUUUGUCUAUAGAUUAUAUAUCUAGAAAUAUAUGGUGAAACUCCACCAUUACUUAAUCCGAUCAAAAUUUUGUUUUUCGACGACUUUAUGGUUUAGUCGAAUUUUUGGGUCUUUUCGGCAACCUUCAAGCUUAUUUUUAUUGGUUAUUAUUAUCAAGCUCCAUUUUUUGUUCAUUACAUUGGAUAUAAAUUGUUUGUUUAUUAGCGUCUCCCUUUACUUGCUGCUCUUG
rnacentral:lncRNA from 1 species